UAUGCAAUAUCUUUUAUCAUCAUUUUAUUAUACCAAAAAUAUUUUUUUAUUUUAAUUAUCAAAUAUAUAUUUAAAUUUUAAAGUACAUUAUAAAUGUGAUUACCAAAUAACAAAUAGUUUUUUAUAAAAACUCUAUUUUCAGAGGUUCUACUUCUCAAAAACUCUACUUUUAAAAAUUUCAAAAGUUCUACUGUUAAUAGCAAUUCCAAAC
rnacentral:lncRNA from 1 species